CUCUUUGCUUGUGGUUAGAGAGCAAGUCUUUGCAAGCCAGCAGAUGAUGGGACUUUGCUUUCCUGUGUGUCAUUAUUUAUUUUGAAAACUGAUACGGAGAGUUUUGCUGUUCCAGUAAAGCUGCUGCUGAGGUGGUGAAAUCAGCCUGGAUCAUGCCCUGCCAGCAGCCUGGGGUUUCUUACCCUGUGCCCUCGUGCAUGUGACAAGGAGGUUUGGCCAGAGCCGCGGCCUCUGUGGGCCGGGUACCACACUCUUCCUCGCACCUGGCUUCCCCUGCUGAGUAUCUUGGAAAUGCCCAUUGCAGGAAUGUGGGCUGGUACUUGUGCUACAGACCAGAAGAUGUUGAUCAGGGCGCGGGUGUCGUGUCCUGUUUCCAAAGCAUCCACAAAGAGCUUGGAAAUCCUUUCCCCAAACUCCACGUUGUCGCUGCAGCCUCCCCAGACCCAGCCGCGGCCACCUGCAAGACAGACGUGUGGUAAGAACAGAACCACCCUGGCGGACCGAAUCCUUCCCCAGGACUUGCACCGAGCUGAGGGCUGGGAUGACACCAGCCCGUCUUGUUGUCAGCUCGGAGGGGGCUGGAGCCCAGCCGCGGCAGGCAGCACACCGGCAGCUCACCGACGCGCCCGUUCCUGGAGUCAUCGCAGCCGCAGCUCUCAAAGUCGCCCAUGCUGCAGUUCCUGGUCAGGGUGUACAUGACGCCGGCGGAGCUGAUGGCAUGCACGAAGGACGUCUCCCUGGUAGCUGGGGGAGAGGAGAAAAAAGCUGUCACAUGUAAACGUACGCACCGGUCCUGGAUUAUUGGGAAGGGAGCUCUAUUGUUAAACCUUCAGCAUUGCAAAGGUGCAAGAAGUGAAUAACAAAGCAGUUUGCACAAAAGGUAAGGUGCUACAGAAAUGAAAUGCUCAUGACUGGAAUCUCUUCCAGCUUCAGCAUCGAUAGUUUCAGCAAUUUGGUACAAUAUUCUGCAGGUGUCCAUGCAUGGGACGGAGUUUCUUGGCAACAGUAGGAUGGUACAGUAAUAUCCCAAUCCUGCUCUCGCCAAGGUUGGUGAUCCCUCAUGUCACCUGGCACUUGGUUUGUCCCUGCCAUGUUCUGCUUGGGGGUUUGUUCCUGCUUUGGUCUCACCUGCUGGGGAAAAUUACAGUUCAUCUUGCAUCAGUCAGUGGUUGAACCUGUGCUAAUAGCAGUCCGGACCCACGCUUCUAUUUUAGUGUCUAUUCUGGCUCUCCUAACAGAGUCAAAUAGAAACGCCACUGGGAAAAAAUCUAUGUUGGCUGAAGUAGAUAGCAUUCAAAUAUAUCCACAACUUUCUCUUGAGAGCAGUUUAUUAGCACUCGCCCCUGGUUUCUCCCUUCAUCUCCCAUAUCAUUCUCCCCAUAUCAAACUCAGGUGCCUCCAUCACUGUGCUCCCUGUGAUGCGGCACAAAAGCAGCAGGAGCGAGCCCGUGGACCAGCACUGCAGGAAGGGCUGAGCUCUACCUUAGCAUGGAUAUAGAUCAUAGAAAAAAUAUUAGCAUUGUUUGUGAGACCAAUUAACGCAGAUGGAGAAAAGCCAGCAUGGUUUCUGAGGGACAGAAAGCCUUCCCAUCGGCUGGCUGCUCUCUUCAGAGCACGCCCCGGCUCCUGCCAAAGGCACCCCGCGGGCACUCACCGCUGCGCAGGCGGUUGUGCGUGGAGAGCUGCAGCGCGCUCUCGGGGCAGUUCCAGCGCUCCCACCCGAACUGGAACUUGCACUCCUCCAUCCCGCUCUGCGCGCCCGCCGCCACGCUGCUGGAGUACGUCAGGUACGCCUGCACAGGAAAGCGCGUGUGAGAUCCUCGGCUUUUCAGCUUUUAUCCAUGAAAACAGACACAGAAGGGUUGCGAGUCCUUUCCCUUGUUACUCAACCCGGUUUGGAGCCGAUACGCUCUGGGAAAUCUGGUUCUUUAGAAAAGCAAUAUUUCCCAUUUGCAAAACAAAAUUGCUUUACUUAAAUUGCUGAUAGUGACUGCGUUAAUUACCUUAGGUCCUGUCAUCAGAAAGUUGUUCACAGACCUGAAACGAAGAGAAGAAAACGAGUUGCACAAUUUAACACAGGCUCAAGAGCAUCCCCCAGAAAUGCCCCUUCUGCUGAAUCCUACCAUGCUGC